GGCAUAUUAAUAGCAGCAGUGAUAGUAUUAAGCACAAAUAAUAAUAGAAGCUAGCACAUAUUUAGUGCAUCUUAUAUUUCAGGCAGUGUUCUGAGAGUGUUACGCAUAUUAACUGAUUUGAUCCUCCAACUUCUCCCUUCCCCUGUAAGGUAGGGACUAUUAUGAUCCACAUUUUACAGAUGACACAAUAGAGGUCCUAAGAGGUGAAGUGAUUUUUCCAAGGCUGCACAGCUGAUAGACAGUGGAGUGGGCUUCAAACUCAGACAACCCAGGGUUCAUGCAGUCUCUUAGAAGAGUCAGAUUGCAUGAGUUUUCCAGAAAAGUCAAAUCAUUUCCUGACCAAGGCCUAGGAAUCUUUUUGGAGCACUCUCUCCUGCCCAUGGAUCUUGCUUGGGAAAGGAAUGGGGCAAGUGGAAAUGGCCAUUUCUUAGAUGAACACAUCAGGGACUUGCUCCAGUCUGAAGUCUAUACAGAGCUAGGCUUUGAAUCCAGUCACGUAACUCAGGUGUGUGUUCAGAGCUUGACGGAUUACCACCAGGCUGGGCCAACAGGGUCGUUUUCAAGUCAGCUAGCCCUAAAAGGGCAAAAAAUUGUUGCAAUGCUCCCAGAUGUAACUCUGACCUGGUAUGGUUCAGGGACGAGGCCACUCACACACACUUGGGCAACUGCUCUUCUCGUGACCAGCCUCUUUCUGUGGGAAUCACUCCAUGGAGCCACCGUCUCUCCUAAGCUACAAUGUUCUACAGUGGUGCAAGUGGGGGAAAAAAUUUCAACAAAAUUUUGGAUAUCAGCUGCUUUAUGAAGGCAUGAUUUAUAAUGAUUUAUUAUAAAAUGAUGGUGUUUUAAUGCUCUUUUUAUUGGUUUUCUAACAGUCG
ensembl:lincRNA